AUUACACCAUUUAUGAGAAUAUUUUGCAGAGUUAUUGGUAGACAGAAAAUUCCUUCCUGGGAAAGUCCUUUGUCAGUCUUUUCAGCCUGACAGUCUUUUCAGCUUAUUGUAAACAAAUAUUGUAUACUAGAUGUCUUAUGAAAUACAGAAGUUUGUUAUAGUUCUGGAGGCUGGGCUGUUCAAGAUGCAGGCAGAUUCUGAAAGAACACUUUCCAGUUCACAGAAGACCCUCUUCCCAAUGUGUCCUCACAAGGCAGAAGAGAAUCCCAGAUCUGUGACUCAAAGCCUGAGGUGAUGAUAGCCACCGGGACUGCUUCAUUUCCUCCCCUGUGGAAGGACAACCUUGAGCUUGCCUGUGUACACUUUUGCUUCAUGUUCAUCUUCAAGGACUUUGGACAAACUUGUCCCUCUUUCAUGAAAAAGUGACAAUAACAACUACCCAACUAACAAACAAAACCAGGAAAAAAGUGGGCCCGUGAACUUGCGGAGGAAUUGCACAAGCUGCUAGAACCCGAAUCUCCUUAUAUUUAUUCUUUUCCUUCAAGGGCAAAAGCAUGACAAUGUUUUAGAGACGCUCAUCACUCUGAGUUAGUUCUAAACUACUGAAAUCUUGGUUUGAGACAUUUUCUUAUGCCAAGAAUAAAGAAAACCAUUUUUC
ensembl:lncRNA